AUGUCAUCAAACUCCACGCUCACGGAAUCACUUCAUGAGAAAACAAUCGUCUUUGGGCUUAAACUUUGGGUUGUGAUUGGGAUCGCUGUUGGAGCAUCCCUCCUGGGUAUUCUUCUUAUCCUUGUGAUAUGCCUUACCAUCCAGACCUGGAUCAGACGGUCACGAAGGGCAUUCAAGGAGCUUCCCAUGACCCAGAUACCUUCUGCAUUCAAAGACAUCACAGAAGUCAGGGUGGCUGACCAAUUUUCACCCAAUGAUUAUGUUGUACAUGAUGGGCUUCUACUCGCCAUUGAGAAUGGGCCUGUUGAAUCAACGGAUAAAGAUGCUGUUCAAUCGGCGCAGGAGGACAAUUCGAGGCAUAGAGAAGAGAACAAUCUUUCAGGUUCUUUAGUUCACACUGAUGGCUGUGAUGGAAUUCAAUCUGUUUCUGUCUGUGAACAGCCUUCUGUACAUGCUACUGCCGAUUCUGCGCCGUUGGACGGACUACCUGAGUUUUCUUACCUUGGAUGGGGCCAUUGGUUCACUCUCAGAGAUCUAGAUGUUGCAACCGACCAUUUUGCAAAGGACAACGUAAUUGGUGAGGGCGGAUAUGGUGUUGUGUAUCGUGGCAGAUUAUCAAAUGGCACCCCAGUCGCUGUCAAGAAAAUCCUUAACAAUUUAGGGCAGGCUGAGCGGGAAUUCAGAGUGGAAGUUGAGGCAAUUGGUAAUGUUCGCCACAAGAAUUUGGUCCGGCUUUUGGGAUAUUGUGUUGAGGGUACCCAGAGGAUGCUUGUAUACGAGUUUGUUAACAACGGGAAUCUUGAAAGCUGGCUCCACGGAGAAUUGUCCCAGUACAGCUCUCUCACUUGGUUAGCUCGCAUGAAAGUUCUUCUGGGGACUGCAAAGGCCCUUGCAUAUUUACAUGAGGCACUUGAACCAAAGGUUGUGCAUCGUGACAUCAAGGCCAGCAAUAUCUUGAUCGACGAUGAGUUUAAUGCCAAAAUAUCUGACUUUGGUUUGGCCAAGAUGCUUGGUGCUGGUAAAAGUCAUAUUGCUACUCGAGUUAUGGGUACCUUUGGCUAUGUUGCGCCCGAGUAUGCUAACAGUGGGCUUUUGAAUGAGAAGAGUGAUGUCUACAGCUUUGGGGUUCUUUUAUUGGAAGUUAUUACAGGUAGAGAUCCAAUUGACUAUGAUCGCCCCCCAAGUGAGGUAAACCUAGUCGAUUGGCUUAAAUUGAUGGUCGCCAACAGACGUUCUGACGAAGUGGUGGAUCCACACCUUGAGAGAAGACCGUCGACAAAGGAGCUCAAACGUGCCCUUUUGACAGCUCUGCGGUGUAUCGACCUGAAUGCGGAGAAGAGACCAAGGAUGGAUCAGGUCGUCCGGAUGUUGGAUUCCAGCGAAACCAUACCUCAAGAGGAAAGAAGACCACGACAGAACCGGAUAUCUGAGAAUACUGAAACCGUGCCAUUGAGGGGCAAGAACAGCAUCGAGAAGAGUGAUGCCCCUGAGCAUGAGGAGAGGCCCCCUCGGUCAAAGACUCGUCCAUUUUCGUCCAAAUGA
rnacentral:rRNA from 1 species